rnacentral:rRNA from 1 species
UACGUAGGGGGCUAGCGUUGUCCGGAAUCAUUGGGCGUAAAGCGCGUGUAGGCGGUCCGGUAAGUCCGCUGUGAAAGUCGGGGGCUCAACCCUCGAAUGCCGGUGGAUACUGUCGGGCUAGAGUACGGAAGAGGCGAGUGGAAUUCCUGGUGUAGCGGUGAAAUGCGCAGAUAUCAGGAAGAACACCCGUGGCGAAGGCGGUUCUCUGGGACGGUACUGACGCUGAGACGCGAAAGCGUGGGGAGCGAACAGG